rnacentral:tRNA from 1 species
AGGGUUGUGGCUCAGUGGUAGAGCACUUGCCUUACAUGUGCGAGGCCCUGGGUUUGAUUCUCAGCACCGCAU